rnacentral:rRNA from 1 species
CCUACGGGAGGCAGCAGUGGGGAAUAUUGGUCAAUGGGCGCAAGCCUGAACCAGCGAAGUAGCGUGAAGGAUGAAUGCCCUACGGGUUGUAAACUUCUUUUAUAAGGGAGUAAAUUAAGACGCUUGUGCCUCUUGAUGUGUCGUUUAUGAACAAGGAUCCGCUAACUCGGUGCCAGCAGCGGCGGUAAUACGGAGGCUCCUCGCGUUGUCCUGAUUGAUUGGGUUUAAGGGGAGAGUAGAUGGGUUGUUAAGUCAGAUGUGAAAGUUGGGGGCUCAACCGGAAAACUGCAAUUGAUACUGGCAGACUUGAGUACAGUUGAGGUAAGCGGAAUUCGUGGUGUAGCGGUGAAAUGCUUAGAUAUCAGGAAGAA